rnacentral:lncRNA from 1 species
AAUGUAGCCUCUACGUAUUACAGUUGAAGCUUUAGAAUGAUCCUUCAUCCUAACAGGGAAAGGUGGUUUCUCAAUGUAAGCACUGGGAACAAUAGGGUCAUUAUAGGCAAUGACUUCCUCUUCAACUAGAUUGGGUUUAACUACAUUGACUUCUAAAGGAGGAUGAUAUUUAAACCACUUCUCUUUGGGGAAAUCAAUAUGAGCAGCAAAUGAUUCACACAGUGAAGCUACUAUCUCAAAGUCAAGUCCAUACUUAGUGCUAAAGUCACAAAAGGUAUUUGUUUCAACAAAGGAUUUAACACAAUCAAACUUGAAAUUCCUACCUGACUCCUUACCUUCUUAAGCUCCCAAUCUUCAGAGUUGCGUUUAAUUCUCUUCAAUAAAUUCCAUUUGAGGUCAAUAUCUCACUUCAUAAAAGAACCGGUACAAGAAGUGUCAAGCAUGGUGCAAUCAUCAUGAGAAAACCGAGCAUAGAAGUUCUGAAUGAUAAUUUCUCUCGAGAGCUCAUGAUUGGGGCAUGAAUAUAACAUUGAUUUAAGCCUCCCCCAAGCUUGAGCGAUGAUUUCUCUGUCACGAGGCCAAAAAUUAUAAAUAUAAUUCCGAUCACGAUGUACUAAAUGCAUAGGAUAAAACUUUUGAUGAAAUUCUAAUUUCAACCGAUUGUAGUCCCAUGAUCCAGUAUCAUCACAUAGCCUAUACCAUGUCAACGCCUUAUCCUUCAAAGAUAAAGGAAAGACCUUGUUCUUGACCUCAUCCUUGGGCAAACCUGCAAGCUUAAAUAAACCACAAACUUCAUCUACAUAGAUUAGAUGCAUGUCUGGAUGUGAUGUUUCAUCUCCUGUAAAAGGAUUAGCCAGCAGUUUCUCAAGCAUACCCAAAGGAAAUUCAAAGCAAAUUUUUUCAGUAGGUCCAGCAGGUUGAGGAGCAACUCCUUGUGCUUCCGUUCAAGGUGAAGAUACCCCGAACAAGCCCUUCAAAGCAAAUUUCAGCACACUAUAUUAAUGUUUCCUUACCAAUUUCCACUUACCAAAGGCACUUCACUCCCCGGCAAUGGUGCCAGAAAAGAGUCUUGAUGACCCACAAGUAUAGGGGAUCAAUCGUAGUCCUUUCGAUAAGUAAGAGUGUCGAACCUAACGAGGAGCAGAAGGAUCUGACAAGUGGUUUUCAGCAAGGUAAAAUCUGCAAGCACUGAAAUUAUCGGUAACAAGUAGUUGUGUGGUGAGAUGAUUCGUAGCAAGCAACAAGUAACAAAAGUAGCAACGGUGCAAGAAAGUGUCCCAAUCCCUUUUGUAGCAAGGGACAAGCCUGGGCAAAGUCUUAUAGGAGGAAAAGCGCUCCUGAGGACACACAGGAAUUUCUGUCAUGCUAGUUUUCAUCAUGUUCAUAUGAUUCGUGUUCGUUACUUUGAUAGUUUGAUAUGUGGGUGGACCGGAGCUUGGGUACUGCCCUUAUUUGGACAAGCAUCCCACUUAUGAUUAACCCCUCUCACAAGCAUCCGCAACUACGACAGAAGAAUUAAGACAAAGUCUAACCAUAGCAUUAAACUAGUGGAUCCAGAUCAGCCCCUUACGAAGCAACACAUAAACUAGGGUUUAAGAUUCUGUCACUCUAGCAACCCAUCAUCUACUUACUACUUCACAGUGCCUUCUUCUAGGCUCAAAUAAUGGUGAAGUGUUAUGUAGUCGACGUUGACAUAACACCACUAGACGAAAAACAACAUACAACACAUCAAAUUACCGAACGAAUACCAAAUUCACAUGACUACUAUUAGCAUGACUUAUCCCAUGUCCUCAGGAACAAAAGUAACUACUCACAAAGCAUAAUCAUAUUCAUGACCAGAGAGGUAAUGAGUAGCAUCAAGGAUCUGAAAAUAAACUCUUCCACCAAGUAAUCCAACUAGUAUCAACUACAAAGAGUAAUUAAGACUACUAGCAACCUUACAAGUACCAAUCGGAGUCGCGAGAUGGAGACUGGUUUCAAGUGAUGAACUAGGGUUUGGAGAUGAGAUGGUGCUGAUGAAGAUGUUUGAUGGUGAUGAGUCCCCUCCGAUGAGAGGAGUGUUGGUGAUGACGAUGGCGAUGAUUUCCCCCUCCGAGAGGUAAGUUUCCCCGACAGGAUCGUCCUGCCGGAGCUCUAGAUUGCUUCUGCUCAAGUUCUGCCUUGUCGCGGCGGCGAAUCCUCCGAAAAGCCUCCUUCAUAUUUUUUUCCGGACAAAACCCUUCAUAUAGCAGAAGAGGGGAGCCACAGGUCCAGCUGGGUGCCCACAAGCCCCCUAGGCGCGGCCAGGGGGUGGCCGCGCCUAGCAGGCUUGUGGCCACUUGUUGGCGCCCCUCUGGCACUUCUUCGGCCCAGUAUUUUUUAUAAAUCCCGAAAAAAUCCUUGUUCAUUUUCACGACGUUUGGAGUUGCACAGAAUAGGUAUCUCAAACUUGCUCCUUUUUCAGGCCAGAAUUCCAGCUGCCUACAUUCUGCCUCUUCAUGUAAACCUUGCAAAAUAAGAGAGAAAAGGCAUAAGUAUUGUACCGUGAAGUGAAAUAACAGCCCAAGAAGCGAUAAAUAUCAACAUGAAAACAUGAUGCAAAAUGGACGUAUCAAAGCCCUCCGUGUCCGAAUCCCCCCUCCAGCAGGGAACCAGAACGUGCCCCAGAUGGGAUCUUACGAAGAUAGAAGCUUGCGGAGGCGGAAAAGUAUUUUCGUGGAUCUCUCCCGUGGUUUCAGGUUUUUAGGGAAUUUAUAGACGGAAGAAGUAGGGAAAAGGAGCCACAGGGGGCCCACAAGCCUGGUAGGCGCGCCCCCCAGGCUGCGGCUAGGGGGCUUGUGGCCUCCCCCAGGAUCCUUUGCCUUGGUUCUCAAGUUCCCUGCAUAUCUUCUGUUUUGAAAAAAAAAUCAUUCCGAAGAUUUUAUUCCGUUUGGACUCCGUUUAAUAUUCUUCUUUGAAAAGGGUCAAAAAUACGGAAAAAAAAAUAGGAACUGGCACUUGGCACUGAGUUAAUAGGUUAGUCCCAAAAAGGAUAUAAAAUGCAUACAAAACAUCCAAAGUUGACAAGAUAAUAGCAUGGACCCAUAAAGAACUAUAGAUACGUUGGAGACGUAUCAACGCUCGCGGGUGAUAACUGGGACUUGGCCUUCCGACGUGCCUUGUCUCCUAAAGAGUUGGUUCAAUGGUGGCGUCUUGCUGUCCUUUUUCCCUCGCUCUCGGAGGUGGAGGACUCGGUGGUCUGGCCUCACUCUACUUCAGGCUGCUUCUCGGUUAAGUCCCUGUAUUCAAAGCUUAUUGCUGGUACUCCUACGAAUAAGUUUUGUCAGAGUUGGCAUUCGCAUAUUCCUCCUACGAUUAAAAUCUUCAUGUGGCAAGCUUUCAGGGGUCGCUUCCCGGCUGCUGAGCAGAUUCGGAAACGCAACGGCCCGGGCUCGGACUGUUGUGCCUUAUGUGAUGCUUUGGAGGACACCAAUUAUAUUAUUUUCAACUCUGUCUUGGCUAAAUUGAUCUGGUGCUGCUUUCGAUCUUUGUUGCAAGUUUCAUGGGCUCCUUUGUCUUACUCUGACCUCCAGAUUCUCACCAGUCCUUUGGUGGGUGAUAUGAAACGUUUGUUCUGGAUUGGGCUGGCAGCGAUGUGUUGGGCCUUGUGGACUACCGGGAACAAGUUUACGAUUGAACAUAUCUUUCCUUCUAAGCCUGUUGAUUGCUUAUUUAAAGCUUGCUUGUUCCUGCAGCAGUGGAGAUUAUUGACUAAGCUUGAAGAUAAAAACAACUUCGACCUGCUGUUAUCUAAGAUUCGGGCCUCUCCAUCUUCCAUUUCACGGCUGCAGCCUCGUGUCUAAAUCUCGGAGUGGCUGAGGGCUUGGUUGUUGUUCGUCUUUCUAUCGGAGUUCAAUGUUUGUCCGGCCUACGUGUCGUAGGUUUGGCUCGUGUGCCAUGUAUCUCACUCUUUGCUUCAUGUUUCGGCUUGGGUGGCGGUUCGGACUCGUGUUGUUUGUUGUUUGUGACUCUGCCUGCUGGCUUUAUUUAUAAAGUCAAGCUCAUGCCUUUUCUCUAAAAAAAGAAAUCAUUCGUUUGGCGAGCCGUUCAAUUUGAAGGAGGCAAUCGUUCGAAAGUAGCACGACGCAUCUUCCUUCUCUGUACCCCAACACAGCAGCUUCCACACCAACAUCAACACAGCCUCUUCCAUAGUAGCAUCAACGGCACCACCGAUGUUCCAUUGCAACCUCGUUAGUGCUCCAUUGCAACCUCGACGAAGUUUCGACCAUCCAGCAUGCUUCACUGCAACUCCGGCGGCUUCAUUGUAACCCCGGCCAUGUUUCGACGACCAUCCGGCAUGCUUCAGUGCAUCUCUAACAUGCUUCGGUGCAGCUCUCACGGCUCACCCUCUUGCGUGCUUUACUGCAACUUCGGUGACACUUCACUUGCAGCCGCGGCGGAGCUCCAAUGGCCCGAACAGCGCUCGAAUGCACCUCUAUCGCCGAAGACUUGCAGCAUCAGCAGGUUGUUGUGUCGUAGUGCAUGAUACGUCCAUUUUGUAUCAUGCUUUCAUGUUGAUAUUUAUCGCUUUUUGGCUGUUAUUACACUUCACGGUACAAUACUUAUGCCUUUUCUCUCUUAUUUUGCAAGGUUUACAUGAAGAGGGAGAAUGCCGGCAGCUGGAAUUCGGGCCUGAAAAGGGAGCAAGUUUGAAAUACCUAUUCUGCGCAACUCCAAAAGACGUGAAAAUCAACGAGGAUUUAUUUUGGAAUUUAUAAAAAAUACUGGGCCGAGGAAGUACCAGAGGGGCACCGGCAGGAGGCCACAAGCCUGCUAGGCGCGGCCUACCCACCCUGGCCGCGCCUAGGGGGCUUGUGAGCUCCCUGCUGGCCCUCUGGCCCCCCUCUUUUGCUAUAAGGAGGGUUUUGUUCCGAAAAAAUCAGGAGCAGGCUUUCGGGAGGAAUCGCCGCCGCCACGAGACGGAACUUGAGCAGAACCAAUCUAGAGCUCCGGCAGGGUCGUCCUGCCGGGGAAACUUCCCUCUCGGUGGGGGAAAUCGUUGCCAUCGUCAUCACCAACACUCUUCUCAUCGGAGGGGACUCAUCACCAUCAACAUCUUCAUCAGCACCAUCUCAUCUCCAAACCCUAGUUCAUCUCUUGUAACCAAUCUCCGUCUCGCUACUCCGAUUGGUACUUGUAAGGUUGCUAGUAGUGUUAAUUACUCUUUGUAGUUAAUGCUAGUUGGAUUACUUGGUGGAAUAUUAUAUGUUCAGAUUUUUGAUGCUAGUUGUAAGGUCAUGAAUAGGAUUAUGCUUUGCGAGUAGUCACUUUUGUUCCUGAGGUCAUGGGAUAAGUCAUGCUAUAAGUAGUCAUGUGAAUUUGGUAUUCGUUUGAUAUUUUGAUGUGUUGUAUGUUGUCUCUCCUCUAGUGGUGUUAUGUGAACGUCGACUACAUAACACUUCACCAUUAUUUGGGCCUAGAGGAAGGCAUUGGGAAGUAGUAAGUAGAUGAUGGGUUGCUAGCGUGACAGAAGCUUAAACCCUAGUUUAUGUGUUGCUUCGUAAGGGGCUGAUUUGGAUCCACUAGUUUAAUGCUAUGGUUAGACUUUGUCUUAAUUCUUCUUUCGUAGUUGGGGAUGGUUGCGAGAGGGGUUAAUCUUAAAUGGGAUGCUUGCCCAAGUAAGGGAAGUACCCAAGCGCCGGUCCACCCACAUAUCAAACUAUCAAAGUAGUGAACGGGAAUCAUAUGAACAUGAUGAAAACUAGCUUGACAGAAAUUCCCAUGUGUCCUCGGGAGCAUUUUACCUCCUAUAAGAGUUUCUCCAGGCUUGUCCCUUGCUACAAAAGGGAUUGGGCCACUUUUCUGCACCUUUGUUACCGUUGUUACUUGCUACUUGCUACGAAUCAUAUUAUCACACAACUACUUGUUACCGACAAUUUCAGUGCUUGCAGAGAUUACCUUGCUGAAAACCACUUGUCAGAUCCUUCUGCUCCUCGUUGGGUUCGACACUCUUAAUUAUCGAAGGACUACAAUAGAUCCCCUAUACUUUUGGGUCAUCAAGACUCUUUUCUGGCGCCGUUGCCGGGGAGUGAAGCGCCUUUGGUAAGUGGAAUUUGGUAAGGAAACAUUUAUAUAGUGUGCUGAAAUUUAUUGUCACUUGUCACUAUGGAAACUAAUCCUUUGAGGAGCUUGUUAGGGGUAUCUUCACCUCGAAUGGAAGCACAAGGAGUUUCUCCUCAACCUGCUGCACCUACUGGAAAUAUUUUCUAUGAAUUUCCUUAGGGUAUGCUUGAGAAACUGCUGGCUAAUCCUUUUACAGGAGAUGGAACAUCACAUCCCGACUUGCAUCUAAUUUAUGUAGAUGAAGUUUGUGGUUUACUUAAGCUUGCAGGUUUGCCCGAGAUGAGGUCAAGAAGAAGGUAUUUCCCUUAUCUUUGAGGGAUAAAGCAUUGACAUGGUAUAGGCUAUGUCAUGAUACUCAAUCAUGAAACUACAACCGGUUGAAAUUGGUAUUUGAUCAAAAGUUUGAUCCUAUGCAUCUAGUACAUCGUGAUCGGAAUUAUAUUUAUAAUUUUUGGCCUCGUGACAGAGAAAGCAUCGCUCAAGCUUGGGGGAGGCUUAAAUCAAUGUUAUAUUCAUGCCCCAACCAUGAGCUCUCGAGACAAAUUAUCAUUCAAAACUUCUAUGCUCGGCUUUCUCAUGAUGAUCGCACCAUGCUUGACACUUCUUGUACCGGUUAUUUUAUGAAGAAAGAUAUUGACUUCAAAUGGAAUUUAUUGGAAAGAAUUAAACGCAACUCUAAAGAUUGGGAGCUUGAUGAAGGUAAGGAGUCAGGUAUGAAUUUCAAGUUUGAUUGUGUUAAAUCCUUUGUUGAAAUAAAUACUUUUUGUGAUUUUAGCGCUAAGUAUGGACUUGACUCUGAGAUAGUAGCUAGAUUGUGUGAAUCAUUCGCUGCUCAUAUCGAUCUCCCCAAAGAGAAGUGGUUUAAAUAUCAUCCUCCCUUAGAAGUCAAUGUAGUUAAACCCAAUCCAGUUGAAGAGGAAGUCAUUGCCUAUAAUGAUCCUAUUGUUCCCAGUGCUUACAUUGAGAAACCACCUUUCCCUGUUAGGAUAAAGGAUCAUUCUAAAGCUUCAACAGUGAUACGUAGGGGCUACAUUAGAACAUCUACACCCCCUGAGAAAAUUAGAGUUGAACCUAGCAUUGCUAUUAUCAAAGAUAUUCUGUCCGACAAUGUCGAGGGCCAUGAUAUUCACUUCUGUGAAGAUGCUGCUAGAAUUGCUAAACCUCAUGCUAGAGACAAACAUAGGCCUGGUGUUGACAUGCCUGUUGUUUCUGUUAAGAUAGGAGAUCAUUGUUAUCAUGGUCUAUGUGAUAUGGGUGCUAGUGUUAGUGCAAUACCUCGAUCCUUAUAUGAUGAAAUCAAAGACAAGAUUGCACCUGUCGAGAUAGAACCCAUUGAUGUCACUAUUCAGCUUGCCAAUAGAGAUAAUAUCUGCCCUUUGGGAAUUGUUAGAGAUGUUGAAGUCUUGUGUGGUAAAACGAAGUAUCUUAAUGAUUUCCUCGUUCUUGCUACCACACAAGAUAGCUUUUGUCCCAUCAUAUUUGGCAGACCUUUUCUCAAUAAUGUCAAUGCUCAUAUUGAUUGUGAGAAGCAAACUGUCACUGUGAGCAGGAAAAUGAUAUGCAUAUGGAUGAAAGUUAUCUUUGAACAAUAUCCUAUCCUUAAGAAUAACUUGCCUGUUGAACUGCUUGGAGAUCCACCCCCACCAAAGGGUGAUCCUGUGUUCGAGCUCAAACAGUUGCCUGAUACUCUUAAGUAUGCUUAUCUUGAUGAAAAAGAGAUAUAUCCUGUUAUUAUUAGUGCCAGCCUCUCAGAGCAUGAAGAAAAUAAGUUACUAAAAACCAUGAGGAAGCACCGUGCUGCUAUUGCAUAUACUCUUGAUGAUCUUAAGGGCAUUAGUCCCACUCUAUGCCAGCACAAGAUUAAAACCGAUCCUGAUUCUAAACCAGUUGCUGAUCAUCAAAGGAGAUUAAAUCCUAAGAUGAAAGAGGUAGUAAGAAAAGAAAUACUAAAGCUCCUAGAAGCAGGUAUUAUUUAUCCUGUUGCUCAAAGUGAUUGGGUGAGUCCGGUGCAUUGCGUCCCUAAGAAGGGAGGCAUUACCGUUGUCCCUAAUGAUAAGGAUGAAUUGAUCCCACACAGGAUUAUUACUGGCUAUAGGAUGGUGAUUGAUUUUAGGAAAUUGAAUAAAUCCACUAGGAAAGAUCAUUACCCUUUGCCUUUUAUUGACCAAAUGCUAGAAAGACUGUCUAAACACACACACUUCUGCUUUCUAGAUGGUUAUUCUGGUUUCUCCCAAAUACCAGUUGCACAAUCUGAUCAGGAAAAAACCAUUUUCACCUGCCCUUUCAGUACCUUUGUUUACAGACGUAUGCCUUUUGGCUUAUGUAAUUCAAAUACCACCUUUCAAAGAUGCAUGAUGGCUAUAUUCUCUCACUUUUGUGAAAAGAUUGUUGAGGUUUUCAUGGAUGACUUCUCCGUUUACGGAUCUUCUUUUGAUGAUUGCCUCAGCAACCUUGAUCGAGUCUUGCAGAGAUGUAAAGGUACCUGAUGGGGUUAUAGUCCCAGGGUAGGGUCAUAGGCCUACCCUAUAGGUCCCACCCAAGGACUACCCUUCAUAGAGGACAAGGCCCUUAGACAGUUCCGACUGAACUAAGGACUCCCCCCAUCAUCCAGUCGGUGACGAACACACGGAGCAUAUUUAACGUACCGACUGGAUUCAACUCUGUACAUCGUAACCUCCGAGGAGGGCAACGGUCAUACGUUUUCAUACACCAUUAUUAACAUUUAAGGCAUAUGUUACCUGUAACGUAGGCAUUUAUUCGCCACUAUUCCACCCCUGUCCACCGGGCCAUUAUGAAGGGCAGCGCACUCUAUAUAAGCCGCCCUUCCCCACUGGUGCAGGGGUUGGCAUUUACCGUAAUCCUAUAUUCCACUCGACACUAAGCUCCCAAGAGCACUGAGACGUAGGGCUUGUACCUCCACCGUAGAGGGGCCUGAACUCAUACAUCCUCGUCGUAGCAAAGGCUCUGCCCAUCCUUUCGUACCCUACACAUCUACUGUCACACUUAUACCCACGACAGUUGGCGCCCACCAUGGGGCAGGCGUCUAAGCGACUUUCGGCGAGUUUGCAACUUCAUCUUUUCAUCAUGUCGUCCGGCGGAGACUUGUGCAUGGGUCAUGAGAUCCUCUUCAGCGCACUCUCCUUCAUCGUCGACGAUUCGGCAUGGCUACGGGAUGCGCCUCUCGACGUCGAGGCGCUCCCCAGUCGCGGGGCUACGCACUUCCGUGCCGUUGCCCGCGGCGUCCUUCUUCUCCAGCAAUCGGCCCCGGUGUCGAUCUUUGCCCCCAUCACGCGCCGCAACAAGCGGUCCCGCCGUCCGCGGCUCCAGCGUUGGGUGCGACACGCCCAGGCGCGACAGAACGCGUCCUCUCAAGUGGCGGUCCUUGAGUCGGUUGUGGUCGCGCCGCCGUCCCAGUGCUUGGAAUCAGUUCCGACUGAGUUACAUUUCGAGUACUUGGGUCGCGGGCCUGCAGUCGAAGUUCUCAUGGCCGAUUCCCAUGAAAGUCCCCUCCGAACUGGUCGGAACGAGCACGAGGUCGGCGAAUAAUCUGGCGCUCGUCGUCAACACCGCUGUUCUGCCAGUCGACGCACUCGCCAGAGCAACGUCGAGGUGUUCCGCACACCCGUCCUCAACCUGGCUGCCGCUGCCAAGAUAGCUGAUUCCCUCCAACUGACUAAUUCAGAGGCUGGUAGAGGGAUCGAGCAGAUCCGUGCCCUGUUGCAUACGGCGUAGCAGCAGAAUUAGGCGGUCUCCCAGUCGCACAACAGGAUCCACAACAGUUCUGUUCACGCAAACACGCAUCGGUCGGUUUUCAGCCCCGACUCUCAUCAGCGACGCGGAGGGGUCAGCCGUUCUAGGAAUCCUGAAGAUCGUCGCCGUUCACACACCCCUCCGCGGGGUGCGCCUUACGAGCCCCGGCAUCACGAUGAUCGGCGUUCAGUCGGUGACGCGUAUGAUCCAAGGCCCGACGCAAGAGGGUACAUCGCCCAAAGGAAGGUCAACAGGAGUCGAGCCCACCGUGAUGGUCACGAUAGAGACCGUCCGAGUGGAAGCAGGACCAUCGUCUCUGGUCCCGAUUGCUUCAGUCGGGCCAUCCGUUCAGCUGACAUCCCUCCCAACUUCUGAUUGGCGACGGAAAUCAGCAAGUUCACAGGAGAGUUCAAGCCAGAAACGUGGCUGGNNNNNNNNNNNNNNNNNNNNNNNNNNNNNNNNNNNNNNNNNNNNNNNNNNNNNNNNNNNNNNNNNNNNNNNNNNNNNNNNNNNNNNNNNNNNNNNNNNNNUAUAUAAUCAAACAUAGUAUUCACGUAAGCACUCACACUAGCAAUCAUUCUAGCAAUCAAUUAACAAACAGCAAUAAAAGUUGAUGCAAUCAAAAAUCAAUAAGAGAGAGCGGAUAAAAAUCCGAAGGAAACUUCAAAUAAGACUAGGGAGUCUUCUACUACGUCAAACACUAAAUAGUUUUUGUUCUAACUGAAAAUAAAACACUAAAAUAGAAAAAAUAACAGAAAACAAAAUAUAAGAUAACUAAGAUAACAGAAGUAAAAUUUACAAAACAAUAUUAUUUUAUAAGUAUUUUCAAAAUAGGAAAUCAAACUAGCAAUGCAAUCAAUUCGCAAGUUAGUAUAGAACUAGAAUUGAUUCCAAGCAAACAAAUAAGAAUAAAUAAAAUAAAAUUUUCUUGUUGUUGAAAAGUUACUGGUAAAUAUCAGAAAAAAAAAAUAACAUGUCACAAUUACAAAAAAACAAAUUAAGAACAAUUAAUACAAAAGAAAUAGCAAGAAAACAAAAAAAGGCUAAAACAGAAUCUGUUNNNNNNNNNNNNNNNNNNNNNNNNNNNNNNNNNNNNNNNNNNNNNNNNNNNNNNNNNNNNNNNNNNNNNNNNNNNNNNNNNNNNNNNNNNNNNNNNNNNNUAUAUAAUCAAACAUAGUAUUCACGUAAGCACUCACACUAGCAAUCAUUCUAGCAAUCAAUUAACAAACAGCAAUAAAAGUUGAUGCAAUCAAAAAUCAAUAAGAGAGAGCGGAUAAAAAUCCGAAGGAAACUUCAAAUAAGACUAGGGAGUCUUCUACUACGUCAAACACUAAAUAGUUUUUGUUCUAACUGAAAAUAAAACACUAAAAUAGAAAAAAUAACAGAAAACAAAAUAUAAGAUAACUAAGAUAACAGAAGUAAAAUUUACAAAACAAUAUUAUUUUAUAAGUAUUUUCAAAAUAGGAAAUCAAACUAGCAAUGCAAUCAAUUCGCAAGUUAGUAUAGAACUAGAAUUGAUUCCAGGCAAACCAAUAAGAAUAAAUAAAAUAAAAUUUUCUUGUUGUUGAAAAGUUACUGGUAAAUAUCAGAAAACAAAAGAUAACGUGUCACAAUUACAACGAAACAAAUUAAGAACAAUUAAUACAAAAGAAAUAGCAAGAAAACAAAAAAAGGCUAAAACAGAAUCUGUUUUGCUUUAAACUAUAAGUAAAAUUACAUAAAACAUUGAAACUUAAACUACUGAAAGAUAUCAUCAAUAGGAAGAAGCAGCAAAAAGAAUCAAAUUAAAAGCUAUUUUUAAACUCCCGGAAUAAGCAAAACAAGCUUUAAUUCGAAUCUGAUCUAACUCAAUUUUUAUAAAUCCAAACAUAGAAAAAUUAUAUAUCUAUAGAAACUGCAUAAAAUUUUUGAUCCAACGCAAAAGGAAUCACCUAAUUCGGAGUUAUAGAUUAAUAGAUAUAAAUUUUCUAAGAUUGCAAUUUUAUGAAAAAACUGCAAUACGGGAGUUCGUGAAUCUCACGAUGGGUGACACACAGGAAGAACUCCGGCGAGGUAGCGGCUCCGGCGAGGUGGGGAGGUCGCCGGUGGGGUGGGGAAUCGGCGGAGGAGUAGCACGACAGGGGUUGGGGCGCUGGAGAGGCUCGGCAGGGGUGAUGGGGAAGCGCCACGAGACCUACUGUACUCCGUUCUUGAUAGGAAGAUGAGGAUGGUGGCGCCGUGGCUACGAGCAGGGAGAAGGCGAGGUGAUGGGGAAAAUGGAACGAGGAGAGGAGGGCGUUCUUAUAGGGGUGGUGGGAGGCUCGGGAAGGAAGUCUAGCCCGCGAAUCGGGGGAGGGAAGCUUCUUAGGAAGCUUCUGCCAUGGCCAUAGAAGGAAGCUCGUGAGGAGGAAGAAGAAGGUGGGAUUGGGCCAGUUUGGUUUCCUAACGUGGCCCAAGUACAUUCCUGAAAUAAGAGAUCUCUUUCCCUUUUUAUUAAANNNNNNNNNNNNNNNNNNNNNNNNNNNNNNNNNNNNNNNNNNNNNNNNNNNNNNNNNNNNNNNNNNNNNNNNNNNNNNNNNNNNNNNNNNNNNNNNNNNNGUGCUGGAAAGCACCAUAUUAAAUGCUAUUUAAUUUAAUGCACCUAUAUACUUGGUAAAAGGUGAAAGGCUCGGCCUUUUCUAGCCUGGUGUUUUGUUCCACCUUUAACCCCUUAGUUUUCGGCUACCGGUGUUAUGUUCCAUAAACGAGCGCUCCUAACACGAUCGGGGUUGUUAUGGGGACCCCCUUGAUAAUUCGUUUUAGAUUAAAGCUGGUCUGGCAAGGCCCAACUUUGGUACUACAUUUUCCUAAUAACUAAUGAACUGCAUACGUGUUAGGAGCGCUAGAUUAUGGAACAUAACACCGGUAGCCGAAACUAAGUGGGCAAAGGUGGAACAAAACACCAGGCUAGAAAGGUCGCGCCUUCCACCUUCUAUCAAGUAUAUAGGUGCAUUAAAUUUAAAUAACAUUAAAUAGGGUGAUAUAACAAGGAACCCAUGUUAUCACAUGGAAGCAACUGCACCUGCAACUAGCAACGCUAACAACAUGGUUAAGCAAGCAGUAACAUAUCCAAUCAGUGGUUUGCUAGGUCGAAUAGGUUGAAGGUUAUCAUGGCAUUGUUGAGAGGCUGAAAUUUAACAUGUGGUAGGUAACCAGACAUAUUCGAGAGAAGCGAUACAAAUAGCAUGGCAAUGAUUGUAAUGGUAUCUGGGGAAAUGGUCAUCUUGCCUGAGAUCCCGCUUGGAAGAAGAACAACUCCGUGACGCAGACGAACCAACGUAGUCGAAUGGAUCCUCACAUUCCGACACGCUUGCGGAACUCUAUCGAGACGGAGCAAACCGAAAACAAGCAUCAACACAGAUGUUCACCACACGAAGCACAACAUGAUGCACAGCCUACUAUGAUGCAUGAUCAGUUCAAUGAUGCAAGGCAUGGCAUGGCAAUUCACCUCACGCAAACACUACACAUUAAGUGAAGCUCGAUAUGCAACGAGUUACAUAUCGACGAAACUCCACGUUUAAUUAUUUAGUUCACUCUCGUUUAUUUACACGCAAUAUUAAAAUGUUGUUAACAUGGCAAGGGGUCAAACGGGUGAUUCUACAAGUCAUGCUAGUCGGUUAGCACACGGGACUUAGAAUGGAGCUAUGUUACAAGAAACAUGCAACACAAGAUAUCAUGCCAUGAAUGUGUCAUGCAUGCAAGUUCAUAACAACACGGGCAAGAAGAGAAAGAAGGAUGUGUCGCCAUGGCGAGCGAAAGGGAUCCACGACGGCAAGUCUGAAACGAAGCCACGGCAACGUUCCUAUCCCGAUAACUCGAAGAGGUAUCGGUGCCAACGAAAUGUGAGCGUGUGCGGGAACGCUAAAUAAAGAUGGGGUGAUCCCGGUUACCGGGUUCCCAUGUGUCGGGGCACAACAAAAGAGGAACACGUGCAAUGGCAACAUAUGGCGCAUACAUACGAUACAACUCAUACAUCAGAAGCAUUCGGUACACGACACGUUCCAACGGUAUACCUUCGAAGCGUGCGAAUCAGAGGGGUGCGGUUCGGUGAAGGAGAACAAUGGACGUUGUGGUCGUCGAGGUACUCGGGUCUCGUCGACGGUAGUCGUACUCUUGGCGUCGGUAGACGAGUCUUCGGCGACGGUAGUCGAACACGUUCCGAAGAUGGUCGGGGGUCGUCGAGGACGUCGUGUACUCGGCGAACUUGUCGACGACCCAUGAUGGCGGGGAUGGUCUACGCGGCGACAGCAGGCGACACAACAGCAACAUCUAGCAGCUUAGCGGCAGGAGCAACAAGCAACAAGCUACGGCAUGCAGCAGCAUCGACAGCAAAACGGCAGCCUAGCAAGCAGCAAAACGCAGCAUCAAGCGACAACAUUAGGCACGGCAAGCAAGCACAGGCACGCAGCAAGCACAGCAAGAAACUACAGCAGCGUAGCAGCAGCUACAUGCAUCGGCAAGCAGGCAACAGCCUAGCAUCAGGCAGAAGCGAGCGACAACAACAUGCGGCAACAACACAAGCAACAUCCAACAACAACUAACUAUAGAAGCUACUAGCAUCUAUCUAGCAGGCUAGCAAGCAAGCGCAACAUGCAGCCAGCAUGCAAAAACGCAGCAGCAGCUAUGGCCAAGCAACACAUGGCAGCAGCAAUCGGCAAGUAGGAGGAGGCAGGGGAGGGGAUUGGAGGCGCGCAUGGCGACGGAGGAGGUCCAAGGCGGCUCGAGGCGAGGCAGAGGAGGUCGGGGGCGAGGGCGAGCAGCGCGGGCGGCAUGGCAGGCAGGCGGUCUAUAGGCGGCGGCGGGGCAGGAGCAAGCCGGCUUCGGUGCAGGACUUCAGCGAGGGGAUCGAGCACGGGACGAUGGCUGAGGAGGGGAUCGGGACGGGGAAGAAAUGAGAGGGAGAGAAAGAUGACGGCGCGGGGAGAAGAGCGAGAAGAGGAUGACGCGCACGGGAGGCCUUCGGUAGGGCACGACAAGCACAGAUGGGCCUGGGCCGGCUGGGCAGCUCCUCCUCUCCCUCUUGCACUUGAUGUUUUACUUUUUUUAAAGCAGGAAAACUCAAACAAAAGAAAAGGGUUUAAACAACAAAAAAGAAAUAUUUUUUACUCCUUUAAAACAAACCCCAACUAUAAAAUAGAUUGGGCCUAUUUUUUAAAGAAAUAAAAUGAAACCUUUUUUGAAGAAUAAAAUAAAACCCUUUUAACAAGAGAAUAAAAUAAACCCCUUUUACCAAUAAAAUGAGACUCUAGUUUUGAAAUAAAACAAAAGAAAAAAAUAAAGGAAACCCAAGGGGUUGCCUCCACAUUUAAUAAAAGGAUUUUUUUUUAAAGAAGACGAACCUUUUUAAAAUAGGGGUUAAAAUGGAAACUUUAGCAAAACCACAAAAAUGAAAUAAGAGGGGAGAGAGGGGGAGUUACUAACGCACUUGAAGCACACACACUCAAAACACCACACGGAAUAGAUGAUGCAAGAUGCCAUGCAUGAUGCGACGAUGCAAACUAAAUGAUGAUGCGCCAAAUAAAAAUAAUCACACGACAGAAACAGAAAUAAAGGGGGAAUCUUCUGGAACGUCGGUCUCGGGCUGUCACAACUCUCCUACCCUACAAGAGAAUCUCUUCGUGAGAUCCAGGAAUGAAAGGGGGGAGAGGAUGAGAAAGAACAAGAGGUAAAAACUUAGUCGCUUCUUGAUAAACGAGUGACACCAACGAUCCUUGAAGGUUGCAAAGAGAUGAAGAAUGAUAUGAGAAACAAGAAAGAAUUCACGACAAGUUUCGGCAGCACUUCGGUAGGAAAAUGGGACAAAAAAUUCGAGAAGAAGAGAAAAUUAGACAAUAUUCAUAACAAGCAACUAAAUAGAGCAAAGGAACACCAUGAUCUUGGUAGAACAACAUAACAGACCCAAAAGAGCAACAUCAGAAAGCCUCCGGAACAAGAGAAUAUGAACUAGCUCAAGCGGAAGAAGAGAAUGAAGAAAAGAAUGCCAACUAUCAUCACAAUAGAAUUGAAGAGCCUCCGGACAGAGAAUUGACGUAGUAGUUGGAAAACCAACAACGAAGAAGAAGACAGUAGUGGGCUUAUGAAAGUCAUCUCAGCACCUAUGAGGUGACAACCAACCACUACAAGAACCAAGGAUAGAUGAAAGCAAAGAUAUCAAAACUUCUUACACCAAGAGGAUACAUUGAGAACUUGGAUUAAUGACAAGCACCAUAAUAGCAACAAUCCAUAGGAAAAGCUUUAGGUGAAAUUCAAACCAAGAUAGCUCAAUGAAGAAAUCAUCGGUUGAAAUAUCUCAUGAUCAAAGAAUUGGUGGUUUUAAUUGUCUCAUUCCUGAAAGGAAAACACUUCGAGGCUCCUACACUAACAAGAAUGCUAUAACACCACCUCAAAGGAUAAAGGAGAACAACGCAUUGGAAAUGCAAGAGAAAGAAUACUUGAGGUACUCCAACAAGAAUCUUGAAGAACACUUUGAGAAAAAUCACAUCCUUGAAGAACCACCAAGACGCAGCUCCGUAUCAAAAGGAUUAUGCAAGAAUGAAGGAUGAAAGAACAAGAUUGAAACCUUGCAAAUACUUCGAUGAAGCUUCACGAAGAGAUACUUGAGAAAACUUGGCACUCCGGAAAAGAAAAGAUAAGAACACUUGAGAAAAAGGAAUUGAUGUCAAGAGCCACUCCGGAAGAAGAAUUCAGAUCACUUGAUGAAACAAGAAUAAGAAUUAUGCUAUGCUAAUCCUUCGUCAACUUUAAUUGAUGACAAGCAACAGAUUUAGCGUAUCACUUAUUCUUCUAGAAAUGAAUCUUGGAGAGACAGAGAGACAAACACCACUUGAGGCAUAAUUUAAGGAAGCACCGGCAAGAAAUCACAAUUGAAUGGGAACACCACGAAUUAAUGGAGAUACAUGAGAAUGAAGAGAUCAUGAGCCACCUGAGAGAAAACUAGAACAAGGCACCGGAUAAUCGAGAGACGAACGAAGAGACAACAAUGGAGAAGAAUUUGAGAAUGAAAGCUGCAAGCUGAGAAUGAACAAAAUCUUCUGGAUGAUGGCCUUCGGAGGAUCGAGAAUGAAAACUCAGAAAUGCGCCGAAUAGCAAGAAAGGGAUUACCCAUGAUUGGAACAAUAAGAUGACGACACCAAGCUGAAAUGAUGAAUCUACAAUAUAAUGGACCAAGAUUCGAGAGAAACACUCCUUCGGAUAGCAAGCUGAGAAUGAUGACGAGAAACAACACCAAGAAUAACUGAGAAACUCCGGAAUAGAGAAGAAUGAAAGAUUGAGCCAAUAUGAGAAUUAAUACACAUAGCUCUUGAAGAAGUAAUAUGACUGAUGAAAUUCACACUUACGUCAUAGUUGAAAUAAUUAGAGGUCUCUGGAAAAGAUUAAAAGUGCCAGGUAAGAUCCUGGUAAAAGCUGUGGGUUAUGGGCCCACUCAAAGAAACCACCGUUAGGAAAGAUUGCUAGAAAGAUAUUGCACCGGUAUGAAGAGAACUAGAUAAGGUUGAGAACCUCGAAAUAGUUAAAAGAAUUGAGAACACGAAACUCAGAGAUAUCUUCAGCACUCCGGAUAGGAAAGAGAUGAAUGAAUAACAUGAUAGGCUAAUAAGAAUUCCCAACAUAGGAAGGAAUUAGAAGGAUGAAAAGGAUAUAAUGAACACGGACAACUGAAUUAAAUUCACCGGAAAAGAUAACAAGAUUGAAUAAAUAUGAACACGAAGCUCCUGAGAAUCUUCAAAAAAAUUACCGGGUAAGACACGGAAGAAAAGAUAGAGGAAGCAACAAUCAAAAGAAAAAUUCUUGGAUGAAAAUUGAAUCACUGAAGAAAAGGGUGGGAGGGUGGGGAAAAACAAAGACAACUUGGGACAAAUGAGACAAACUCCGGAAAGAAUUGAGAGAAUGAUCUUGCAAAAUUGGAGAGGAUGGAAUUCAGUUGAAGAGAAGCACACCAGUUGAAUGGAAUUGAUACGAUGACUCCGGUUGACAAGAAAUGAAAGACAAGUUGAUUUGAGAAAACGGAUUAGUACUCUCAUAAAAAUAUGAGAACACCACUUAAGAAAGAUCUGAAAUCACCACUUGACAUCGAAGCAAGACGAAUUACCAUAUUUCAACAAACAAAGGGAUGAGGCUUACGAAAGAAGCCAGAACAAACUCAUGAGAAAGAUUUCGUCGGAUAUUUUCGUGGACAGGAUCGCACGGGCUCGAUCCUUACAAUAGCCAUCAAGUGCAAGGCAGUGCACCCGACAUACGAAGCGUCCCCAAGUCAUAGCAAGCUACAAGGACUCUUUAAGACACAACGAGAACCGUUGUAAGUCGACCGUCAACAAACGAAUCCACUAGAUGUCGACCCCAACCUAACAUCAUGCAUUUGUUGGAAGAGUGUCCUAUAAGCAACUACUUGAAUUCCCACCUAAGAAUUCCCGAAAUAUAUGGUCAUGAAAUCUAGUACACGGAUACAAGGAGUAAUAAUCACACAACUCCUAUACUAACCCGUCAUCUGUAUCACAUCCGUCAACACACAACCAGAAUCUCGGACCUUCAUCUACAAUAGACCCUCGUGAUCACAAUGAUACAACGUAUGGCAGUACUCCCGAACAAUCUGCACCAGUACUGGGGACAUCGGGGUUAUCUCACCACUACUAGUACUGAAGCAAUUAUGAACAUCCUUCAUUCUGAGAUACUAAGAAAUCUGAAUGAUAACGAUGUGCUCGAGAAUCCCCUGGAGCUCAACUCCCCGGAAGAAAAUCAAGUCAGACAGGAGGCACCAAGACAGAACUCCGUCACAUCGGCAUCAUAUAGAUUACAAAAAUAUCCGCGUGAUCCUAAAUUUUUUUUUAGUGAGAAGAGGAGUAGAAUUAAAAUUACGUCAAGAUUCCUCACCAGAGCAUAGAAGAGGAAAAAAAGAAUCCUACUCUCUGAUAUAUAACUAGACUCAAAGCAGUUUUUCACUAGACUCGACUCGGCCAAGUUCGAUCAAUCAAGGGGCCUCCUAGGUCGGUACUGCUCUGAUACCAACUUGCUACGCCCAAGAUGCGACCCUAUCCUCAAUUUGGCACGAGGGCCUCAUCAGGGAUAGAAGCGCAUCUCGUCGUGUCGCAAGAAUGGAUAUCGUUACAAGUACAUGUACUGAAAAGAAGAUAUAUAUAUAUANNNNNNNNNNNNNNNNNNNNNNNNNNNNNNNNNNNNNNNNNNNNNNNNNNNNNNNNNNNNNNNNNNNNNNNNNNNNNNNNNNNNNNNNNNNNNNNNNNNNNNNNNNNNNNNNNNNNNNNNNNNNNNNNNNNNNNNNNNNNNNNNNNNNNNNNNNNNNNNNNNNNNNNNNNNNNNNNNNNNNNNNNNNNNNNNNNNNNNNNNNNNNUAUAUAUAUAUAUAGAAUUGGCUUACACUCACCACAUGCUACAUCAGAGUCACAUCAGUACAAUACAUAAUCAUCAUGAAGAAGAGCAGAGUCCGACUACGGACGAAAACAAACGAGAAAAGAAGAACGACUCCAUCCUUGCUAUCCCAGGCUACUGGCCUGGAACCCAUCCUAGAUCGAUGAAGAAGAAGAAGCAACUCCAAAUGAACACUCAAUGUGCUCGCGUCAAGUACCCUUUACCUAUACCUUCAACUGGUGUUGUAGUAAUCUGUGAGCCACGGGGGACUCAACAAUCUCAUUUCCAAAGGUAUCAAGACUAGCAAAGCUUAAUGGGUGAGGUAAGGUUAAGUGGUGAGGUUGCAACAGCGACUAAGCAUAUAUGAGGUGGCUAAACUUACGAGUACAAGAAAUAAGAGGGGGAAGAUCUACGCAUAACGGACGUGAACUACGAUUGAUCAAAUGAAUGAUCCUGAACACCUACCUACGUCAGACAUAACCCCACCGUGUCCUCGAUCGGAGAAGGAACUCACGAAAGAAACAGUCACGGUUACGCACACAGUUGGCAUAUUUUAAUUAAGUUAACUUCAAGUUAUCUAGAACCCGUGUUAAACAAAGUUUCCACCUUGCCACAUAACCGCGGGCACGGCUUUCUGAAAAGAUUUAACCCUGCACGGGUGCUCCAACUAGUCCAUCACAAAUUACCACAAGCCCCAUAGAAAUCCUCGAUCACGACACUCGCGAUUUCGUGAGAUUCCUUAGUGGUAAAUCUCAACUCUGAGAUUACCCAAAGCAUCACCGGAAUCCCGAUGCACAAGAUAUCUCGUCAAAGUUAAAACUAAUCCAGCAAGGCCGCCCGACGUGUCGACGAUCCCGAUAGGAGCCGCGUAUCUCAUUCUCAGGACACAACGGAUGAGCUAGACAUCGGGAUCGCUAAACCUCUGGGUGACCAGGGGGCGCCAGACAUCACUCAGGUGGGACCAACACUCAUGAGGAGCACUGGCCCAGGGGUUGAUUAAAUUUCCUCGUGUUAAUUACUCCCUAUGCAGUUCAUUAGUUAUUAGGCAAAUGUAGUACCAAAGUUGGUCCUUGCCAAACCAGCUUUAAUCUAAAACGAAUUAUCAAGGGGGUCCCCAUAACAACCCCGAUCGUGUUAGGAGCGCUCAAUUAUGGAACAUAACACCGGUAGCCGAAACUAAGGAGGAAAAGGUGGAACAAAACACCAGGCUAGAAAGGCCGAACCUUCCACCUUUUACCAAGUUUAUAGGUGCAUUAAAUUUAAAUAACAUUAAAUAGGGUGAUAUAACAAGGAACCCAUGUUAUCACAUGGAAGCAACUGCACCUGCAACUAGCAACACUAACAACAUGGUAAAGCAAGCAGUAACAUAGCCAAUCAGUGGUUUGCUAGGUCGAACAGGUUGAAGGUUAUCAUGGCAUUGUUGAGAGGCUGAAAUUUAACAUGUGGUAGGCAACGAGACAUAUUCGAUAGAAGCGAGAAAACUAGCAUGGCAAUGAUUGUAAUGGUAUCUGGGAAAUGGUCAUCUUGCCUGAAAUCCCGCUUGGAAGAAGAACAACUCCGUGACGCAGACGAACCAACGUAGUUGAAUGGAUCCUCACAUUCCGAAACGUUUGUGGAACUCUAUCGAGACGGAGCAAACCAAAAACAAGCAUCAACACAGAUGUUCACCACACGAAGCACAACAUGAUGCACAACCUACUCUGAUGCAUGAUCAGUUCAAUGAUGCAAGGCAUGGCAUGGCAAUUCACCUCACGCAAACACUACACAUUAAGUGAAGCUCGAUAUGCAACGAGUUACAUAUCAACGAAACUCCACGUUUAAUUAUUUAGUUCACUCCCGUUUAUUUACACGCAAUAUUAAAAUGUUGUUAACAUGGCAAGGGGUGAAGCGGGUGAUUCUACAAGUCAUCCUAGUCGGUUAACACACGGGACUUAGAACGGAGCUACGUUAAAAGAAACAUGCAACACAAGAUAUCAUGCCAUGGAUGCGUCAUGCAUGCAAGUUCAUAACAACACAGGCAAGAAGAGAAAGAAGCAUGUGUCGCCACGGCGAGCGAAAGGGAUCCACGGCGGCAAGUCAGAAACGUAGCCACGACAACAUUCCUAUCCCGAUAACUCGAAGAUGUAUCAGUGCCAACGAAUUGUGAGCGUGUGCGGGAACGCUAAAUAAAGAUGGGGUGAUCCCGGUUAUUGGGUUCCCAUGUGUCGGGGGACAACAAAAGAGGAACACGUGCAACGGCAACAUAUGGCGCUUAAAUACGAUACAACUCAUACAUCACAAGCAUUCGGUACAUGACACGUUCCAACGGUAUACCUUCAAAGCGUGCGAAUCAGAGGGGUUUGGUUCGGUGAAGGAGAACAAUGGACGUCGUGGUCGUCGAGGUACUUGGGUCUCGUCGACGGUAGUCGUACUCUUGGCGUCGGUAAACGAGUCUUCGGCGACGGUAGUCGAACACGUUCCAAAGAUGGUUGGGGGUCGUCGAGGACAUCGUGGACUCGGCGAACUUGUCGAUGACCCACGGUGGCGGGGAUGGUCUACGCGGCGACGACAGGCGACACAACAGCAACAUCUAGUAGCUUAGCGGCUGCAGCAACAAGCAGCAAGCUACGACAUGCAGCAACAUCGACAGCAAAACGACAGCCUAGCAAGCAGCAAAACGCAGCAUCAAGCGACAACAUUAGGCAUGGCAAGAAAGCAUAGGCACGCAACAAGCACAUCAAGCAACUAUAGCAGCCUAGCAGCAGCUACAUGCAUCGGCAAGAAGGCAACAACCUAGCAUCAGAAAGCAGCCAGCGGCAACAGCAUGCGGCAACAUCACAAGCAACAUCCAACAACAAUUAACUAUAGCAGCUACUAGCAUCUAUCUAGCAGGCUAGCAAGCAAGCGCAGCAAGCAGCCAGCAUGCAAAAACACAAGCAGCGGCUAUGGCCCAGCAACACCUGGCAGUAGCAAUCGACAAGCAGGAGGAGGCCGGGCAGGGGACUGGAGGUGCGCACGGGGACGGAGGAGGUGCAAGGCGGCUCGAGGUGAGGCACAGGAGGUCGGGGGCGAGGGCGAGCAGCGCGGCACGGGCUCCCUGGAGGCUGUCUCUUAUACACAUCUNNNNNNNNNNNNNNNNNNNNNNNNNNNNNNNNNNNNNNNNNNNNNNNNNNNNNNNNNNNNNNNNNNNNNNNNNNNNNNNNNNNNNNNNNNNNNNNNNNNNNNNNNNNNNNNNNNNNNNNNNNNGGCAGGCGGUCUACAAGCGGCGGCGGGGCAGCACUCUAGCGAGGGGAUCGGGCACGGGACGAUGGCUGAGGAGGGGAUCGGGACGAGGAAGAAACGAGAGGGAGAGAAAGAUGACGACACGGGGAGCAGAGCAAGAAGAGGAUGACGCGCAUGGGAGGCCUUCGCUAGGGCACGACAAGCACAGAUGGGCGUGGGCCGGCUGGGCAGGUCCUCCUCUCCCUCUUGCACUUGGUGUUUUACUUUUUUUUAAAGCAGGAAAACUCAAACAAAAGAAAAGGGUUUAAACAAAAAUAAAAGAAAUAUUUUUUACUCCUUUAAUACAAACCCCAACGAUAAAAUAGAUUGGGCUUUUUUUAAAAGAAAUAAAAUGAAACCUUUUUUAAAGAAUAAAAUAAAACCCUUUUAACAAGCGAAUAAAAUAAACCCCUUUUACCAAUAAAAUGAGACUCUAGUUUUGAAAUAAAGCAAAAGGAAAAAAAUAAAGGAAACCCAAGGGGUUGCCUCCACAUUUAAUAAAAGAUUUUUUCAAAGAAGAUGAACCUUUUUAAAAUAGGGGUUAAAACGGAAACUUUAGCAAAACCACAAAAAUGAAAUAAGAGGGGAGAGAGGGGGAGUUACUAACGCACUUGAAGCACACACACUCAAAACACCACAUGGAACAGAUGAUGCAAGAUGCCAUGCAUGAUGCGACGAUGCAAACUAAAUGAUGAUGCAACAAGUGAAAAUAAUCACACGACUGAAACGGAAAUGAAGGGGGAAUCUUCUGGAACGUUGGUCUCGGGCUGUCACAAUUUCCCCUUGGAAUAGGUAUGUUCUUGACACAAUCGUAGGUGGAAAUUUCUUGGGUAGCCAUACCGUUGAUUCUUACGGUGCCUUAAUAAAUUUGGUAGGCUCACCCCCACUCAUGGUUAAUGGAACUACCUUAACAUUGGAACAUGUGAUGCGUAGGCUGGAUAUCGUUGAAAAUAAAGUUGCUAUGAUUGAACUCAUUGAAAAUUUGGAUAAAAAGAUCCACACUCAAAUCACUCAGUAUGGAUCAAAGGUGGGAAUGACUUUGAAAUAUUUAAAGGAGAGGGAACCCACAGUUAAUGAAAAACUAGGUCAUGAUUCCACUAGAAUUGACAAACUAAGGAUGUUAUAACCAACUUGGGUUCCGCUUUUGCCGUUGUUCAGAACACUCCAAAUUUUGUCCACAAUAAGGCCACCAAGUUUGUUUUUGUUCCUAAAAACAGUGGUGAACCAUCUAGUAAGAGAGAUGAAGAUCUUAAAGUGUUGAGUGUUCACCCUACUUAUGGUUUGAGCACCAAAGACGACGAUACUUCAUUCUAUCGCCUUAUGCCUAGCUAAGGGCGUUAAAAUAACGCUUGUUGGGAGGUAACCCAAUGAAUUUAUCUUUUCUUUUUGCUUUCUGUUUUGUUGUGUCCACACCAUCAUAAUUCUGUUAUUAUUGUGUUUUUUGUGUUUCUUUUUGUGUUUGAGCCAAGUAAAACCUUUAUGACUAGUUUUGGUAAUGGUUUUUUGAUCUUGCUGAAAAAGACAGAAACUUUGCGCUCACGAAAUUAUUUUUAAUUCCUAUCCAGAAAGAUAUUUUGAGUUCAUUCUUUUUGCUUCUGGUUGAUAUGCCAAUUUCCCUAAUUGUCAUAAUUUUUCAGAAUUUGUGAGAUAUCAGAAGUAUACGAAGUAUACAGAUUGCUACAGACUGGUCUGUUUUUGUUGUGUUGAUUGCUUAUUUUGAUGAAACUAUGGAUAGUAUCGGGGAGGUACUAGCCAUGGAAAAUUGAGAAUACAGUAAUGUAACACCAAUAUAAAUAUAAAUCAAGUUUUCUACAGUACCUAAAAAGGUGGUAGUUUGUUUUCUUAUGCUAAUGAUAUCAUCAGUUUCUGUUUAAGUUUUGUGAUGUGAAGUUUUCAAGUUUUGGGUGAUGUUCUCAUGGACAAUUGGAUAAAGAGUGGAAAGAGAUCAAGCUUAGGGAUGCCCAAGGCAUCCCAAGCCAAAUUCAAGGACACCAAAAAGCCUAAGCUUGGGGAUGCCCCGGGAAGGCAUCCCCUCUUUCGUCUUCAAUCCAUCGGCAACGUUACUUGGAGCUAUAUUUUUAUUCAUCACAUGAUAUGUGUUUUGCUUGGAGCGUCUUGUAUCAUAGGAGUCUUUUCUUUUUUUUGUGUCACAAUCAUCCUUGUUGCACACCUUUUUGAGAGAGAUAUGCACUCAUCGUGAUUUUGCUAGAAUACUCAUUGAGCUUCGCUUAUAUCUUUUGAGUUUGGCAAUUUAGCUCGCAUGUGCUUCACUUAUAUCUUUUGAGCUAGAUAAAUUUGCUCUAGUGCUUCACUUAGAUAUUUUUAGAGCACGACGGUGUCAUAUUUGGGAUAAAUAAGAACUCUCGAUCUUCACUUAUAUCUUUUUGAGAGUGCUCUUUCUAAGUAACUUGGUAAUUGGCUUGUGCUAUGAAAGUAGUCCUAAAGAUGAUAGGCAUCCAAAGAGGAUAUAAUAAAAACUUCCAUAUUCAUGUGCUUUGAUUGUAAAGAGAAGUUUGAUUCCUCUCAAUUAGUUUCGAGACAUGGAUUUGGUAAUAUUGUAGUUAUGUUAGUAGGGUGUCGUGAAUCUAGAAAUACUUGUGUUGAAGUUGGUGAUUCCCGUAGCAUGCACGUAUGGUGAACCGCUAGUUAGGAAGUCGCAGCAUAAUUGAUUUAUUGAUUGUCCUACUUUGUGUGGUGGUCGGGGUCGCGCGAUGGUUAACACCUACCAACCCUUCCCCUAGGAGUAUGUGUUUAGCACUUUAUUUCGAUUACUAAUAAAACUUUCGCAAUAAGUAUAUGCGUUCUUCAUGACUAAUGUGAGUCCAUGGUAUAUAUGCACUUUCACCUUCCACCAUUGCUAGCCUCUCUAGUACCGCGCAACUUUCGCCGGUGCACAAACCCACCAUAUACCUUCCUCAAAACAGCCACCAUACCUACCUAUUAUGGCUGCACAAACCCACCAUAUACCUUCCUCAAAACAGCCACCAUACCUACCUAUUAUGGCAUUUUCAUAGCCAUUCCGAGAUAUAUUGCCAUGCAACUCCCACCGUUCCGUCUUAUGACUUGUGCCAACACUUUCAUAUUUCCAUUGCCUGAUUGUAAGAUAGCUAGCAAGAUGUUUCAACGUCAUACGCUAAGCUAGAUCGUUGCACAUCCCAGUACACUGCCGGAGGCAUUUCCUUUAGAGUCAUGAUUGCUCUAAGUGUUGAGUUGUGAGUAAAUAAAAGUGUGAUGAUCAUCAUUAUUAGAGCAUUGUCCCGUGUGAGGAAAAAUGAAAAGAGGCCAAAGUUGCCCACACAAAAAAUGAAAAGAGGCCAAAGGGCCCAAACAAAAAAAAUGUGAGAAAAAGAGAGAAGGCACAAUGCUACUAUCUUUUUCCACACUUGUGCUUCAUAAUAGGACCAUGUUCUUCAUGAUAGAGAGUCUCUCGUUUUGACACUUCCAUAUUCUAGUGGGAAUUUUCAUUAUAUAACUUGGGUUGUAUAUUCCAAUGACGGGCUUCCUCAAAAUUGCCCUAGGUCUUCAUGAGCAAGCAAGUUGGGUGCACACCCACUAGUUUUCCGCUUGAGCUUUCACACACUUAUAGCUCUAAGUGCAUCCGUAGCAUGGUAAUACCUACUCAUUAACAUUGAUAUCUAUUGAUGGGGAUCUCCAUAGCCCGUUGAUACGCCGAGUCGAUGUGACCAUCUCCUCCUUUUUGCCUCACAACCUCCACCACACUCUAUUUCACCUAUAGUGCUAUAUCCAUGGCUCACGCUCAUAUAUUGCGUGAGAGUUGAAAAAGUUUGAGAAAGUAAGAGUGCGAAAACAAUUACUUGGCAAAUACCGGGGUUGUGCAUGAUUUAAAUUCGUUGUGUGGGGAUGAUGGAGCAUCGCCAGACUAUAUGAUUUUGUAGGGAUAACUUUCUUUGGCCUUGUUAUUUCAAAAGUUCAUGAUUACCUUGCUAGUUUGCUUGAAGUAUUAUUGUUUUCAUGUCAAUAGAAAACCAUUGUUUUGAAUCUUACGGAUCUGAACAUUCAUGUCACAUGAAAGAAGUUGCAAAGGAAAAAUUUGUUAGGUAGCAUUCCACAUCAAAUUUUUUUACUUCCUUACUCGAGGACAAGCACGAGUUAAGCUUGGGGAUGCUUGAUACGUCUCCGACGUAUCUAUAAUUUUUUAUGGUUUCGUGCUAUUAUCUUGUCAACUUUGGAUGUUUUGUAUACAUUUUAUAUCUUUUUUGGGACUAACCUAUUAACUCAGUGCCAAGUGCCAGUUCCUGUUUUUUCUGUGUUUUUGACCCUUUUCAGAGAAGAAUAUUAAAGGGAGUCCAAACGGAAUAAAAUCUUCGAAAUGAUUUUUUUUCGUAACAGAAGAUACGCAGGGAAUUUGAGAACCAAGGCAAAGAGUCCCGGGGGAGGCAACAAACCACCUAGCCACAGCCUGGGGGGUGGGGCGCCUACCAGGCUUGUGGGCCCCCCGUGGCUCCUUUGCCCUACUUCUUCCGCCUAUAAAUUCCGUAAAAAUACGAAACCACGGGACAGAGCCACGAAAAUACUUUUCCGUUCUGGUGCCCUGCCGGAUGGGGGAUUUGAACACGGAGGGCUUCUUCAUCAACACCAUUGCCUCUCCGAUGAUGUGUGAGUAGUUCACCACAGACCUUCGGGUCCAUAGCUAGUAGCUAGAUGGCUUCUUCUCUCUCUUGGAUCUUCAAUACAAAGUUCUCCAUGAUCUUCAUGGAGAUCUAUCCGAUGUAAUCUUCUUUUGCGAUGUGUUUGUCGAGAUCCGAUGAAUUGUGUAUUUAUGAUCAAAUUAUCUAUGAAUAUUAUUUGAGUCUCCUCUGAUCUCUUAUAUGCAUGAUUUAGUAUCCUUGUAAUUCUCUUCGAGUUGUGGGUUUCGUUUGGCCAACUUGAUCAAUAAUUCUUGCAAUGGGAGAAGUGUUCGGUUUUGGGUUCAUACCGUGCGGUGUCCUCACCCAGUGACAGAAGGGGUAGCGAGGCACGCAUCGGGUUGUUGCCAUCAAGGGUAAAAAGAUGGGUUUAUAUCUAUUGCAUGAAUUUAUCCCUCUACAUCAUGUCAUCUUGCUUAAGGUGUUGCUCUGUUCGUUAUGAACUCAAUACACUAGAUGCAUGCUAGAUAGCGAUCGAUGUGUGGAGUAAUAGUAGUAGAUGCAGACAGUAUCGGUCUACUUGUCUCGGCCGUGAUGCCCAUAUGUAUGAUCAUUGCCUUAGAUAUCAUCAUGACUUUGCGCUAUUCUAUCAAUUGCUCGACAGUAAUUCGUUCACCCACCAUAAUACUUGCUAUCAUGAGAGAAACCUCUAGUGAACACUAUGGCCCCCGGGUCUACUUCACUUCAUAUUUUCAGCUCUACACUUUUACUUUGUUCCACUUUCCGCCUUUAGAUCUCACCUUGCAAUCAAUCGUGAAGGGAUUGACAACCCCUUUAUAGCGUUGGGUGCAAGUUUGUUUGUUUUUGUGUAGGUACAUUGGAGACUUGCCUUGAUACUCCUACUGGAUUGAUACCUUGGUUCUCAAACUGAGGGAAAUACUUACUGGUAUUGUGCUGCAUCACCCUUUCCUCUUCAAGGGAAAAACCAAUGCAAGCUCAAGAGGUAGCAUGACCCAAUAGUUAGUUUCGGCCUGUAGGAUUUUUAUUAAUUCUGGUGAAUUUAUUAAUUUCAGUAAAAUGCAAUAUUUUUAAAUGCCCAUAAAUCUUAAACCGUGCGUCGGAUUGCGACAAGUUAUAGAUGUAACUUGGCUAGAAUUUCGCAUAGAUUAAUAUUUUACAACUUGCAUGCAUGUUUGAAGUUGUUUGACCUGCGUUUUGCAUAGAUUUGUGUGCUGUCCUAUUAGGUUAAUUAUUCCGUAGAUAAUUAUGCGUGCAUCCAUUUUGCUCGAAGCCCGUAGGUAAAAUGUCCAUGUUGUUGCAACCCCUUGCCAUGUAUUUUAGAAAUAGUUGUCCUGCCAUUUUCAUGUAGGUGGCAUCAAUAGUUUGCUAUGUCGUGUUUAGGACAUAUUCUCGCAUAUAUCUGUGGCAUUAGUUUUAUUUUUCACCCUACAUAUUAUAUAUGUUUUAGGGGUAGAAAUUUUUUUAGAAUUUAACUGUGCAUUUAGUUUUGUCUUCCAAGUAAGUUAGCUUGCAUGAUAUUUUUCCAUGAUGACUUUUGUUUAUUUUGAGGGAUUUUAUUCCGUGCGUGAUAUGAUUUACUUGUGAACUAGAGAUAUGUCCUUGGACAUGCAUGUUAGCCCCUGGUAAUUUUGGUUGCUAUAGAAAUCCAUAUUUAGGUGUUGUUUUCUUGUCGCCAACAUGCUAGAAAAUAGUGUUGUUUAGAGAUCUACUGCCAAUAUGCCUUCUGGUUGUCAAUAUGCCUUCUGGUUGAAAACUACACUGUCAAAAGUGUUAUUUUCACUAAGUCUGAAACUAUGUGCUAGUUGCCAUUUUGUGAGUUCUUUUUCGUAGUGAUCCAUGCUUCCAUGCUAGUUGUUUUUAGCAGGGGGUUGUUGUGCAACUUGACCACUACUGCCUCAUGUCUUGUUUGAGGAUUUUAAAAUUUUGUAGCUUGCUGUUGUAGGGUGUAGAUAAUGUCAUGUUGUUGUUUUGGGAAGAUUGUAGCUAUUUCUUGUUUAGCUUGUUUUGUUUAACCGUUGAUCCGUUUUGAUCAUGUACUAUAUGAACUUGCUUAGAAUCUUGUGUAGGUUCAUAUUAUCUUGCUGCUUGUAUGGUAAGGAGUGCUUGUGUCUGUCAUCGGCAUACAUAUUGCAUUCAUGGCAUCAUAUCUUGCAGUGAUCAUUUCUUUUGAACCGUAGCUCUGAUAAAAUGAGCUAUAUGUGUAAACCGAAUAGAAUGACAUGUAGAAUCACAUGCUUCACCUCUUGCCAUGUUUAACAACAUUUAAUAUUGCCGCAUAAAUAAACGGGAGUGAACUAAAUAAUUAAAUGUGGAGUUUCGUCAAUAUGCAACUUGUUGCAUAUUGAGCUCCACUUAAUGUGUAGUGUUUGCGUGAUGUGAAUUGUCGUGCCAUGCCUUGCAUAUUUGAAACUGCUCACGCAUCAUAUCUGUUAUGCAUCAUGUCGUGCAUGUGCUGUGGUGAAUAUCGUGUGUUGAUACUUGUUUUUGGUUUGCUUCGUCUCGAUAGAGUUCCGCAAGCGUGUCGAAAUGUGAGGAUCCGUUCAACUACUUCGGUUUGUCUGCUUCACGAAGUCGUUUUUCUUCCAAGAGGGAUCUCAGGCAAGAUGAACAUUUUCCCAAAUAUCAUUACUAUCAUUGCCAUGCUAGUUGUUUCGUUUCUAACGUUAUGUCUUGCUGCCUACCACCUGUUAAAUAUCAGCCUCCCAACAAUGCCAUGAAAUACCUUCAACCUUUCCACAACCUAGCAAACCACUGAUUGGCUAUGUUACCGGUGGCUUAACCAUUGGAUAGCGUUGCUAGUUGCACAUGCAGUUGCUUCCAUGUGAUAACAUGGGUUCCUUGUCAUAUCACCAUAUUAAUGUUAUUUAAUUAACACACCUAUAUACUUGGCAAAAGGUGGAAGGCUCGGCCUUGCUAGCCUGGUGUGUUGUUCCACCUUUGCCGCCUUAGUUUUGGCUACCGGUGUUAUGUUCCAUAAAUAGCGCUCCUAACAUGCUUGGGCUUGUUAUGGGGACCCCCUAGAUUCUCGCUUUGGGAUAAAGCUCGUCUGGCAAGGCCCAACAUUGGUACUAUUUGCUUAAUAACAAACUAAAAUAUGCAUAGGGUUUGAUCACCCCGUGGAUAAUUAAUCAACCUCCUGGUCUAGUGCUAUGCAUGAAUGUUGGUCCAACCAGUCAACCGCCGGUGGCCACCAGGGGCAACUAUGUGAUUUGCCUACCGGAAGUUUGAACAAUCAGUCGUGUCCUGAGAACAAGAUAUGCGGCUCCUAUCGGGAUCAUCGACACGUUGGGCGGCCUUGCUGGACUUGUUUUACCUUUCUCGAGCGUCUUGUGCGAGGGAUUACGAGGAUACUUUGGGCUAUCCGGAGGUCGAGGUUUUCCAAUAGGAACCCGAGGAGAUCACGGGUUUCCGUGAUCGAGGUCAUUCCGCCGCAGCGUGUGGUAGUUUGUGAUGGACUAGUUGGAGCACCCCUCUAGGGUGAAAUCUUUUGGAAAUCCUUGCUCGUAGUUAUGUGGCAACGUGGAAACUUUGUUUAACAUCCAGUUCUAGAUAACUUGAAGUAAGCUUAAUUAAAACUUGUCAACUGAGUGUGUAACCGUGACUUUCUCUUUCCUGAGGUCCUUCUCCGAUCAAGGACACGAUGGGGUCGUGUAUGAUGUAAGUAGGUGUUCAGGAUCAUUCUUUUGAUCAUUAUUAGUUCACGUCUGGUUAUGCGUAGAUCACCCCCCUCUUUGAUUCUUGCACUCGUAAGUUAGCCACCUCAAAUAAAUUCUUAGUCACGUGCUGCAGCCUCACCACUUAACCAUAUCUCACCCAUUAAGCUUUGCUAGUAUUGAUACCUUUGGAAAUGAGAUUGUUGAGUCCCUAUGGCUCACAGAUUACUACAACACCAGUUGCGGGUACAGGUAAAUAUUUAGUUUGACGUGAGCGUGCUGAUUGUGCUAUUUGGUGUUCCUUCUUCUUCUUCUUCAUCAAUCUAGGAUGGGUUCCAGGCCAACAGCCUGGGAUAGCAAGGAUGGACGUCGUUCUUUCAUUGUUUGUUUUUUGUACGUAGUCGGACCCUGCUCUUCUUCAUGAUGAUUGUCUGUAUUGUAAUGAUGUGAGUUUGAUGUAGCUUGUGGUGAGUGUAAGCCAACUCCUUGUACUCAUCUUUUCAGUACAUGUAGUUGUAACGAUACCCAUUCUUACGAAACGACGAGAUGCGUUUCUAUCCCUGACGAGGCCUUCGCGCCAAAAUAAGGAUAGGACCGCAUCUUGGGCGUUACAAGUUGGUAUCACAUCAGUACCGACCUAGGAGUCCCCUUGAUUGAUCGAACUUGGCCGAGUCGAGUCUAGUGAAAAAUUACUUUGAGUCUAGUUAUAUAUGGAGAGUAGGAUUCUUUUUUUCCUCUUCCAUGCUCCGGUGAGGAAUCUUGAUGUAAAUUUUUUAAUUCUACUCCUCUUCUCACUCAAUUUUUUUAGGAUCACGUGGAUAUUUUUGGAAUCUAUAUGAUAUCGAUGUGACGAAGUUCUGACUUGGUGCCUCCUGCUGUGUUGAUUUUAUUCCAGGGAGUUGAGCUCUAGGGGAUUCCUGAGCACACCGUUAUCAUUCAGAUUUCUUAGUAUCUCACGACGGAGAAUGUUCAAACUUCCUUCAAUACUAGUAGUGGCGAGAUAACCCCGACAUCCUCAGUACUGGUGCACAGAGUCCGGGGGUACUGCCAUACUUAGUAUCGUUGUGUUUUCGAGGUUCUGAGUUAGAUGAGUUUCCGAGAUCUCUGGUUAUGUGUUGACGGAUGUGAUACACUGGACGGGUAGUGUUAUUGCUAGGAGUUGAGUGAUGGAUUUUACUCCUUGUAUUCGUGGACCCGAUUGCAUGACCAGAAAUUUUGGGAGUUCUUAGGUGGGAAUUCAAGUAGUUACUUAUAGGACAAUCUUCCAACAGAUGCAUGAUGUGAGGUUAGGGUUCGACAUCUAGUGGAUUCGUUUGUUCACGGUCGUCUUACAGCGGUGCUCGUUGUGUCUUAAAGAGUCCUUGUAGCUUGCUACGACUCGGGGACACUUCGUAUGUCGUGUGCGCUGCCUUGUACAUGAUGGCUAUUGUAGGAUCGAGCCCGUGCGAUCCUAUCCACGGAAAUAUCAUACGAAGUCUCUGUCAUGAAUUUGUUUCGGCUUGUGUCGUAAGCCUCAUCCUUUGUUUUGUUGGAGUAUGGUAAUUCGAGUUGUUUUGAUGUCAAGUGGUGAAUUCAUAUCUUUCCAAGUGGUGUUCUUGUAUUUUCAUGGGAAUGCAAAUUCUUUUGCUCAAUCUAGUUGUGUUAUCAAUUCUUCUCAACCGGAGUCAUCGUGUCAAUUCUUUUUCAUCCGGUGUGCUUUUCUUCAAGUUAAUUCUAUCCUUCUCAAGAUCUGCAAGAUCAAUCUCUCAUUUCUUUCCGGAGUUUGUCUCAUCUGUCCUAGUUGUCUUGUUUUCCCCGCCCUCCCUCCCCUUUUUCUUUAGUGUUUCAAUUAUCAUCCAAAUAUCUUCCUUUCAUUAUUGCUUCCACUAUCUCUUCUUUUCUUUUGUUCCAGUGAUUCUUUGUGAAGAUUCUCAAGAGUCCUGAGUUCAUCAUUUUUUCAUUCUUGUUAUCUUUUCCAGUGAAUUCAAUUCAAGCUCUCUCUGUUCAUCAUAUCAUUUUCAUCCUUUAAAUUAUUUCCCAUGUUGAAAAUUCUUAUCAAGUCUUUCUUGUUGUCAUCUCUCUCUAUUCUAUCCGGAGAGCUGAAGAUAUCUCUGGAGUUUCUUGUUUUCAUUUCUUUCAGUUAUUUCGAGGGUCUCACCUCAUCAAGCUUUCAUUGGUGCCGGUGCAAUAUCUGUGUUUUCGAGCAAUCCAUUAAACAAUGUUUUAUUUUGAGUGGGCCCAUAACCCGCAUGUUUCUUCCACGAUCUUAUCUGGAUCUUCUAAUCUUUUCCCGGAGAUCUCUAAUUCUUUUUAAAUAUGACGUAAGAAUGGAUUCCAUUAGUCAUGUUCAUUCUCCAAGAUUGCUUCGAAUUAUUUUUCAUCAUUGGCUCACCUUUUCAAAUUCUUAUUCUAGAGUGUCUUAGUUACCAUUGGUGGUGUUUCUUGCCAUCGUUCUCAGUUUGUGAACAUCGAAGGAGUGUUUUUAUCAAAUCUUGCUCCAUUCUUUUGAAGAUUUUCAUCUCAGCUUCGUGUUAUCUUCUCAAUUGUUGUCAAUAAUGAGUAAUCCCUUUCUUCCUAUCCGGUGCAUUUCAGAUUGUUUUCAUUCUCGAUCCUCUGAAGGCUGUCAUUUUAGAAGAUUUCUCCGCUCUCAGCUUUCAACUUUCAUUCUCAAAUUCUUCUCAAUUGUUGUCUCUUCAUUCGUCUCUCAAUUAUUCUGGUGCCUUGUUGAAGUUUUCUGUUAGGCGGUUUCAAGAUCUCUUCGUUUCCCAUGUUUUCCAUCUAUUUCUAUAUCCCCAUAUUAUGUAAAUUCUUCAGGUUGAUCAUGAUCCCUUCGUUCUCAUGUUUCUUCAUUCAUUCAUGUUAUUCCCAUUCAUUUGCAAUUCUUGUUGGUGGUUCAUUCAAGAUUUCUUCUAGUUUGUGCUCAUAUCUCUCCUCAAUAUUUUCAAGAAGAAUAAGUGGUAUGCUAAAUCCAUUUCUUGUCAUCAAUAUAACUUGAUGAAGGAUAAGCAUAACAUAAUUCUUAUUCUUGUUUCAUAGUGAUUUCAAUUCUUUUUAUGGAGUGGCUCAUGAUAUCAAAUUCUUUCUCUCAUGUGUUCUUUCUCUUGCAUUUCGAAGAGCAAGUCUUCCUCCUUUAUCCAUCGAGGUGGUGUUAUAGCGUUCUUGUUAGUGGAGGAGUCUCGAAGGGAAGUUGUUUCAAGAAUUAAAUAUGUAAACCCACCGAUUCUAUGAUCAUGAGAUAUUUUCAAACCCAUGGUUUCUUUAUUGAUCUAUCUUGGUUUAAAUUUCACCUAAAGCCUUUCCUAAGGAUUCUUGCUAUUAUGGUGAUAUCGUUGAUCCAAGUUCUCAAUAUAUCCUCUCCGUGUAAGAAGUUUUGCCUUUCUUGUUGCAUCCAAUCAAUCCUUGUUUUUGUUAGUGAUUGGUUGUCAACUCGUUAUUUGACAUGGUUAUCAUAAGUCCACAACAAGCUUGUUCUUUCGUUGUUGGUUUUCCAAAAACUCCGUUCUAUCCUUCUUGUAAGAUGCUUCUCAAAUUCAAUUGUGGUAGAAGUUUCCAUUUUCUUCUCCAUUCUCUUCUUCCCAAUGAUCUAGUUUCUAUUCUUUUAUUCCGGAGGCAUUCUGAUGUUGCUCUUUUGCAUCAAUCAUCUUGUUCUAUCAAGAUCAUGUUCUCUCAUUGCUUAUUCAACGUAGUUAUUUUGUUGUGCAUCUUCUCAAGAUCUUUCCAUCUUUUCAAUUUUUGUCCCCUUUUCCUACUGAAGUGCUGCCGAAAUUUUGUUUGAAUUGUUGCUUGUUCCUCAUGUCAUUCUUCAUCCCUUGCAACCUUCAAGUAUCGCUGGUUUCACUCAUUUAUCAAAGAAGCAACUAAGUUUUACAUCUUGCUUUCUCAUCCUCUUCCCCUCUUCAUUCUUAGAUCUCGGGGCGAGAUCUCUUGUUAGUGUAGAAGAGUUGUGACACCCCGAGACCGAUUCUCCAGAAGAUUCCCCUUUUAUUCCAUUGUCACCGGGUUAAUAUUUGUUUGUUCCAUUCAUCUCGCAUCAUUCGCAUCAUCCGCAUUGCAUCGGCACUCCGUUGCUGCCAAUUUUCAAUACUUGCAUCCAUUAGUAGUCUCUAGUUCUCUCCGUUUUUGUCGUUGACCGUUUUGAGCCCGACCACACACGCACACGCCCGCGACAUUGAUAAAAAUAUGGUUUUUAAAAGUGCAUAUAAAUUUUUCUCUGAUUUGGUUGAAACUUGGCGCGCGGUCUUAUUUUAAUGUAGAUAGGCCUCCUGCCAAACAUUACAAGAAAUAAUGUCAAUUAUGACUCCCUAUAUUGGUCAUUGAUUCAUCAUUAUUGUUGUUUAUUGACCUUUUUUGACCAAAUUUACAAGGUCAACAGUUGGCCGUCAAGAAUGAACAAACUUGACCUUUCUAAAAUUUUGGUCAUAGAUCUCUAUUGACCAAAAUUUUGGUUUGGUCAUUACCUAUUUGUGUGAGUCACGUAGGAUCUGACGUGGCUGUGCUGACAUGGCACUGCUACUGACCAAAUGAAAUCAUCAUAAAUUUCACAGCCCAAUUCAAUAAUCUAGUCUACAUGAGCCUCCACCAAUACUAUUUUAUUAUUAAAAAUGUAUAAAUUAUUUAGGCUGAUGCAUUAUUUUACCAAAAGCAUGUAUAUCUCAGGAUAGACCCAUUAAAAACAAGUACACAAGAAUAAAAUAUUGCAAAUUAGUUGUAUAUAUUACAUUUCAAUAACACCAUCACAUAAAUUACAAUACAUCAUCCAUCGACUCCUCUACACAUAAAGGUUCAAGACCCAACAAGUGCACAACAAUAUAAUUCUACAAGUGCAUAAUCACACAUCAACAUAGUUCGACAAAGAUUGGAUGAGAAGCACAAGUUUUUGUUGAUCACACAUAACAUCAAUGAUAAACGAAGCUUCUUGUUCCCUCCUCCCGUCAUGUCCUCUACUUCUUGUUAACAUACAGUUUUGAUCAAGUAUAUAGUAUGCACUUCAUUUGCAUAUUAUCUACGUACCCUUGAUGUUCGUGCAUGCUUGGUGGAACAGGGAGAUUGCUCAUCACAAAUCCAUCCUGAAGAAUAUAUCCCUUAGCAGCAAUCUGCGUUCUUGUUUUUUCUGAGAUCUUCUCCAUUAUUUUCUGAACCUAGGAAACAGAAGAACAAAAUGUUAGUACUUCUAGCACCUAUUAAUUCUUGAAGUCUAUACUUAUACUAAUUAGGCACUCUCUAAAAAUUACCACAUUAAUCAGUAAUUAUGAAUCGUUAAUCUGGUGGGGCCAAAUAAUAAUGUAUCAGAUCAGCCCGUAUGAUUAUAGCUUGAAAGUUUUCUCAUUACAGAAAAAAUGGUCCAAGGCACAAUUCUUUUCUGUUCUUUGUAAAAACGAAUCCACCUAAGACAAGAUUACAGUUCGAAAGAGUUAAGCCUACUCGCCGUAAAGGUAUAGGCAAAGACUGGAACAACUAAUAUAAACUCUUUCCUACACGCAUUGCACGACACAUUUUUUAUUACUUCAUAACUGAAACAGAGGAUGGUCGAUGUCAUGGAUAAAUGAAAUAACUACAUAAAAAUGAAUUCUAGUGAAGGAGAAAAAAAAUAGGAUGAACUCACCGGAAAUAGAGGAGGACCAGCCUGAUGCGCCCUUGCAAGGCUGCACCCAAUUGCUCCUCGAGAAUGACACUGAUAUGACCCUUCUCGAACAUGUCGUAGAAGGAUUGGGGCUUCCUCUGCUCAUUCCAUUGAUGCAUAUCCCACAUACCAAUAGCAACCAGCAUAAGAUGAUUAAGCACAAUGGCUCGGUUGAACUAUAUAAUGUCAGCAAAAGGUGCAGAAAGAAAAACAAUUAAAGGAUGAAACCAAAAUCAUCUAUGUUUUCUGUUGCUUGAAGGAAGAGUACUCUCUCGGGCAAAAGACAUUCCAUUCUCACCAAAUCAAACUAUUUAAAAAGGGCCUUAGAUAUUAGCAAAAAUCUACUAUGAUUCUAAUUAUAUCUAAAUGUACUCAACAAAAGACCAAAAUAAAAAUAGAAUGAAGGUGUAAGUUUACCACAUCCAAGAAAUAAUUGGCUACAUUAUAGUACUUAAAUUGGAUCCUCUCGACAACAUAUACGCAUCAAUACAGAGGUAGCUUGAAACUGUAGCCAUUCAAAGCAGAGUGAUAUAAUGAAGUGAAAAUAAAGAUUAGUAUAAUUAGUGCAGGUUCAGGACUACGGUUCAGGACUAAGCUCACAGUUCUUUCAACAAAAAGGAAAGCAGGGAAGUGAGUUUGGUAGAGCUAGUGCACACAUCCUGAGUAUACAAAGCAAUGAUAUGACAACACAUAUCCUGCUCUUAUCCUCGGUAUACAAAGUAGUGAUAUGUGUCUAAGUAUAUAUUUUUCGCCAUGGUUUCCAGAAUAGGUGUGAAAAAAUAUAUGACAACACCCAUCCGGGGUAUACAAAGCAAUGAGACAACAAUAAGCGGGACACAAGGUAUAAAUACAACAAGCAACAAUAAGUAAUAGUAAGGAAGAAAGGACACAACACACGGAACACACACAAUUCAGUAAAAUACUGCAUAUGAAAUGAGCAAAAGUAAAGAAGGAUGAAGGAGGAAGACAUUACCUUGGCAAGACGAAAGUGAGCACACAAGGCGUCGGGCCAGCUAAACUGUAGGCGUCGGGCCAACUAAACUGCAGCAUGAUCUAGAACACGGAAAAAAAUAAAUUGCCGGAGAAGACAACUUGGUAGUAGAAGCAACUAAAUCAGAACACACACAAACUUUCCUUGUACUGAGUAAUGCGUACAAUAUCUUUUUAUUUAAGGAACAGCUAAAAGAGACUACAAGAUAAUCAAC